AGCAUUAUUACCGCCAUUCCUCAUUUGGCGGGAUAGCACACGGCUGCACCCCAACCCGCCUUAGAGGCGGGUUUU
rfam:Pseudomonas sp. 1 R 17 genome assembly PSEFL294_LIB5394, contig: PSEFL294_LIB5394_000064